CCAAGCUGAGCAACUAGCGACCUCCUUCAGCACCCACUGGGAAAGAAAUCAUUAAUGCCAAACACAAAGAAACUCCAAUUUGCAGUUCCUUUGCAGCCAUUCCCAGCAUUGGGAUAAUGAAUGUGUUUCACACACAGUUGUAGGAGGGAGACCAUGAGAGACACACAGCAUUCCUGCUUUUCAAGAGGAAAAUUGAGUGUGCUCUGUCCCAGAACUGUCCUGGAUGAAACACCUUCUCAUCUUUGCCCUGCAGUGACUCCGGGCCUGAGAGUCCCUGGGCCCCAGCCUAUUCUUGGGGGCUGGAACCCUUGUGCUGAGAAUGCUGACCAGGAAGCCAAAAGUUAUGAGUUUGUCAUCUUGAUACCCUGAAGGAGUGCGUGUGUGUGUUUGAAUGAGUAUCUGCCUCACGCUCAUUGUCCAUCCAUCCAUCCAUCCAUCCAACCGUCCAUCCAUCUGUCCAUCCAUCCAUCCAUCCAUCCAUUAAUGGAUGGAUCCAUUAAUGAUCCAUUCAAUCAUUAAUCAAUAAACUUAUACUGGGCUCCUAACAUACAUGACUUCCACACUUGUUAUCUUCUGACCUUUUCAACCUUGUGAGUUCAGGCCUCUUAUCCCAUCUGACUACCAGUGCCACUGAGGCUUAAUGGGGCUAAGAGCUUCCAGGGUCAUACAGUGACAUCAUGUAGGGUUGGGAUUAGAACCUAGAUAUUCUGCCUCAAAGUUGACUGUUCUAUCUAGCAUAAUAACCGUUAUCAUUAUGUCCUGUUUCUGCUUCAUGUCAGAGCCUGAACUAGGGGUUUUAUGCAUAUCUUAUUUAAUGCCCCCUGCUCUGGUUUGAAUGUGCGUUGCCUCCAAAAUUCAUGUUGAAACUGAACCUCCAUUGUGGUGGUAUUGGGAGAUGGGGCCUUUUUGGGACGUGAUGAAGUCAUGAGGGCUCUCACUCUCAUGAGAGGAUUAAUGACCUUUACUUCUUUUAUUCUUCUGCUCUUCUGCCAUGUGAGGACUCAGCAUUUGUCCUCUUUCCAUCCCUUCCUCCAUGUGAGGACAUCUGGAUGGCACCAUCUAUGAGCAAUGGGCCUCCUCCAGACACCAAACCAACUGCUGCCUUGAUGUUGGACUUCCCAGCCUCUAAAACUGUGAGAAAUAAUUUUUUUUUCUUUAUGAAUUGCCUAGUCUAUGGUCUUUUGUUAUAUCAGUUGAUAUAGUUUGGAUAUUUGUCCCCUCCAAAUCUCAGGUGAAAAUGUGAUCCCCAAUGUUGGAGGUAAGGUCUGGUGGGAGGUGUUCGGGUCAUGAAGUUGGAUCCCUUAUGAAUGCCUUGGUGCCAUUUUCUCAGGAGUGAAUGAGUUCUCACUCUUAAUUCCCAUGAUAACUGAUUCUUAAAAGGACUCUGGCACUUCCCUCCUAUCUCUCUUGCUCCAUUUCUCAUCAUGUGAUAUGCCGGCCCC
rnacentral:lncRNA from 1 species